UUAAAUACCUAUGUACCCAACCUUACUUGUACACUCAUAUGUCUAUAAAUAUGUUAAUUACUCUAUCAGCAACAAACACGAAGUUUCAGCGUUAUCCCCAGUUUAUUUUUGAACGAAUCAAUCAAAGCAUUUUCUGUAUGAAAUGGAUCGAUAUUAGUUAAAGUAUAAAAACCCUGAAACGUUAUUCUUUCUUUAUAUACAUGACUAAAAAUUAAAAGAAGACGAACGGAUAUUUGAUAUAAAAUAAAAUACGUUUAACAUUACUUGGUCAUUAACUAAAGACAGAACCUAAUCCUCUACAGUCACCUGUAAAAUAACUUCUUCAAUAUCAAGUUAAACGUAUAGUCUUUAUUAUAAAUACGUUUCAUUUAAAUAUUGCCUAUUGCAAUCACCUUUAUAUCCGUAAAAAUAUGAGCGUUUCAGUUCUUGACAUAAGUUGCCGGUGGCAAUUCUAUCAUGUAAGUUUUCCGCUUCACGCUCGGAAAUAUUUUAAUAAAUUAAUGUAUUUAAGUGAACUUAAAAUAAACAAAAAAAAUCUUAAAAUAAAUUGCCCUAGUAGUUGAGAGCCAUUUUUAUUCUAGACACUCUGAGUUGAAACUGCUUAUAUUGCAUUUUCCAUUAUAUAGAUGUGUUAAAGAGUUUGAAUGUAUAUUAAUCGAAAAACAGGAAUACCAAAAAGAAAUAUGACUUUUAGAGAUGUUAUGACUGAUGUUAUGACAUAAGUAUGGAAGAAGAAAGAGAGAAAAUUUAGUCAUUAAAAUCUAUCUUUUUUACUGAUUAAGUAUUUUCCUGACAAUAGUAAGUAUGGCAAGACGUUAUUCUCUUAUACUGAUGACGCUUAAUGCUUAGAAUACUUUGUUAUUAUUUUAUGUAAUUCAGGAAAUUUAAAUAAAAAGGGGAGUAGGCGUGUGAUUAUUAUUUCAAUUGAAAAACAUGUAUCCUUAUUGUAAUACACGAUCUGAAAUACAUCACUAAAAGGUAACAAAUAAAAUCCUUCAUGAGAAAGGAGUAGAGAACGCCACACCAAAUAUCACGUAACAGGCCUCGCGUUAAUAUCUCUGAAUAUCUGAAGCAAUCAUCAGGAGCAACUAGUUCCAAUUCAACGAACGGAUGAUCUGCUACCAUAUCAAUAGCUUCAAUACCAAAUUCUUUCUUCCUCCGCGAUAUUGAUAUAUCCGAAACCAAAAUCCAUGUUAUCUCUAAAAAUUGUUUUUCUAAGAAAAUUUUCGGUUUCUCAUCUACCUUGCCCAGAACUUCGACUUAAUUUCUUUCGGUUUAUGGAAUGUUUCAACACGAAUAAACUGUUUUUUAAUAUCUCAAAAACUAAUCUCGUAACAUUUCACUCCAAAAAGCUCCGAAUCUUCACAACUACUUUACUUUGAACACACUUGUCCCCAUUCACUACGCUCAAAGAUUCCAGGGGUUCAUUAGAUGUCAACCGAAAAUGGGAUUCCGACAUAAAUAUGUUAGCUAAACAUGUCACCUUCGCAUUUGCCAUGAGGUUCCUAUUACAUUUUAUAUCUAGGGAAAUUCUCAGACUACGUUACAAUGGCUUGUUUUAGACAGAAAUUUAGUUAUUUGUUAUUUAGUUAUUUUAGUUAUUGUUUUUAUAUGGGGCUUCUGCAGGCAAAUUUCUUUAACAGAAUUUUUUACAUCCAGAAGAGAGCACUGAGGAUCGUCUGAGGAUUGGACUGGCGGGACAAUUGCAGGGAGCUCUUUCGAUCAAAUGGCACCCUCACUCUCGCCAGCCUGCUUGUUUACCACAGAGUAAUUUUUGUCUUUCAAAAUAAACAUAUGUCUUUAGUUCUUGGACACAGUUUCCUUAACUACCGGAAAUGUUUGUUUCAGGAGACCAAAGUUCCACUGAUGGGUUGCAGUCUCUGAUGAAUGACUACUGGUUGUUAUGUGACACUGUUCGUGAAGCGAACACUUUUUACUCUGACCAGCUCCUAGUCAUCGUCGUUUCCACAUUUCUGCAUACGACGACAGACCUCUCCUUCUUUUUUCUUAGUUUUAUCAAUAAGAAUAUUAUUGGCGCCACCGAUGCUGGAGUUACAUUCUUAGCGUGUACUUUCUUCAUCGUUAUGUUGGCUCACUUGUGCACAAACGUUACUGAAUCGGUAUAUAUUAAUAUUACUUAUAUUUCAGUUUAAUAAGUGCAUAUUAUAAUGAAAAAGUGUUACAGUUUUAAAUUUGCUUUAAGUAUAAUAAUUAUAAAGCUCAAUAUAUUGGUUUUUAAAUAAAGUAUAAAUAUAUUUAGUACUAGUGUUUGAGUUUGAGGAAUUGCGAUAGGUAAAUUCUACAUUUUGGCAAAUACAAUGAAUAAUAUAAAUACUUCACCUUUUCAGGCUGACGAGAUGACACGGUCGGUUUGUAGACUACUCAACAUGGGAGUACAAGAUGAACUACAAGAACAGUUGGAGGUGUUCUUGCUGCAACUAUGUAAUCACAAACGGAUUUUUUUAACCUAAACUAUGGAACUUUAACCUCAAUGGCUGGAGCUAUAACAACUUAUAUGGUGAUCCUGCUACAAUUUAUGACCUUGCCCUAGAUCUGAGUGAGCAAUGGUGAUCAGUCCGGACACAAACCGCACUUCAGAAGUAGAACAUCAGUAUUCCCUCUUAAGGGUAAUAUACUAUAGUCCAAAAUCUGCUUCAGAUUAAAAGUAAUAAUUUGCUUGUAAGAAUGGGAUGAAAUAUAUUAUUUAUAAAUAUCGAAACUAUUAUUUAGGUGUUUUUUGCAUUAUUAAUUUUAACAAUAGCCAAUAUUUUGCGUUAUCUUACUUUGAAACAUCAAUCUGAAAAGAUUUUAUUCAAGAUUAUAUGAAAGUUUUAUAAAAAACUAAUAAAAUUCAUUAAAUUUGUGAUGAAUUUUGCCAGUCAAAUAUCUGUAUCAUUAACAUUAACUACUUGAACCAAGUGUAACGAUUUAGUUGAGUAGGGGUUGUUGUAUAGUACUAUCCUUUACAUACCGGAUAGAAUAGUCGAAUGGGGUAAACCCGAGGUACAUAUUUUCAGCUCAGACCGCGAGAGAGAGAGAGAGAGAGAGAGAGAGAGAGAG
rnacentral:lncRNA from 1 species